rnacentral:misc_RNA from 1 species
GUGAAUCAUCGAAUCUUUGAACGCAAAUUGCACUCUCCGGCAUUCCGGAGAGUAUGCCUGUUUGAGGGUCAGCCUAAAAAAAAUCGACAUCGCUGCUGUUUCGCGGUGGCGUUCGUCGGAAAUUGGGUUAUCUUAAAUCUUUGGUUUAAGCGACUUAAGAUUUUCUUUACGAUUCCAUUAACUUUCCCAAGAUUUAUUUCUUUACACGUUUAUGGUAUCGAUUUUAUUAGGCGUGGUCGUCAUAUCGGAUCAUGUCCAUAAUUUUUCGUUUACUGAC